CAGCCGCCACGGGAACACGAAGGGGGCUAGCGUUGUUCGGAUUUACUGGGCGUAAAGCGCACGUAGGCGGAUCGAUCAGUCAGGGGUGAAAUCCCAGAGCUCAACUCUGGAACUGCCUUUGAUACUGUCGAUCUGGAGUAUGGAAGAGGUGAGUGGAAUUCCGAGUGUAGAGGUGAAAUUCGUAGAUAUUCGGAGGAACACCAGUGGCGAAGGCGGCUCACUGGUCCAUUACUGACGCUGAGGUGCGAAAGCGUGGGGAGCAAACAGGAUUAGAUACCCCCGUAGUCCCUGUCUCUUAUAC
rnacentral:rRNA from 1 species